CAGAAAAGUAAUCCAGUGGGAAAUGCAGUGAAACCACCCCUGCAUAGUUACUGAAUUACUCUAUAUGCCAGUGUUGGUCCUCAUGAGCUGAAUAAGCAUAUGGAGAAGAAUUUGGCCUCUAAGGGUAUUAAGAAGGAGGACUAGCCACAGGGGAUAUGGAAAUGCAAUGGCUUCAGCUUGGAACUAAAUGUGUGUCCUGCAAGCAACAGACAAAAAUGCAUCAGGAGCUUCUGCACAUCACGUGUGAAGCUGAAACUGCAUCCAGAUUUCUCCUUUUCAUAAACACACAAUUCCGUCGUGAGAUCCUUGGGAAUCAUGGAACCCUCUUCCAGCUGUUUGAAAGGAAGAGAAGGACAUUUGGGCUGCCAUUAACCAACUCAGCUCCUCCCACUCCUCUGUGCUGGAAUUCUGAGAGAGAAACCUGCAACUCAUGUCAGGGCUACUCUGCUUCCUGCUUCUCAAAGUUGUGGCCUAAAGAAACCUGUCAGCAAGUCCUUUGAAGAUGAAUAUACCAACUUUAUGAUUGUAAUUGAGUUAUUUCUAUCUUAUCUAUUUGGGUUUUCUUUGCCUCCCCCCCCCAUUUGUUUUUUUGCUGAACUCAGAGUUCAAUGUAUCAAACAUUUUAUUUUUGUAUGACGAAUUAAUGGGUUUUAUUUCAGCUUUUGCCCCAAGGUAGAAAACUUCUCAGCUGCUGUUUCCCACAGUAAAAGCCCAGAGCAGUUAGACACAAUUAAUAAAUGUAAAAAAGGUAUGAGUUAGUUGAUUGCUCAGGAAACAAGGUUCUGGUUCAAUGAUGUGCAAAUCCUACAAACCCAGUGAAGGGUUGAAACACUCAGAAGGAGCAGCAUCUUCAUGCAACAACAGCAGAGCCUCUGGUGAGAACAUAAUUCAAGCUGUUGUUUAGUCCCAAAAUCUCCUAGGAGCCCAUGCAAAUUGUGAAUAGAAAGUUUUUAUUUGGAUGCAGUUUUGAAGCCUUUUGAGGGGGGAUGCAGAGGUGUUUGAGCCAGGUCCAGGCUUUCCUGGAAUGCAGGCAGGAUUACACCUGGACUUGCUUUUCCAUCUUCUUUUAUCCAUCAGAUUUUUUUCUUUCCACAAAAUAAGCUCUGCAGGAUGUGGAUUUACAGCUCCUUAGAUCCCUUUGCAGCUGGUACAGUCCUGAGGAAAACUCAAACCAAAUUUCUCUGAGUCCUGCAGAGCCUGGUAACCAAAUUCUGGCCCACCUUUUUAUGAUUAAAAACUAUGCAUGAGAAUGGAUAUUGCAAGUAACUAACAGGUGAAAAAUUCAUACCUAAUUGCUUUAUAGAAACUCAUUUCUCUGGCUCAAUCCCAUCUCUUGAUACAUGUUUGAAACAGUAUUUUGUGUAGCCAGAGAGGAUUGGAAGCACUUCAUGACAUUUGCACCCUGGCUGUGAAAUGCAAAAUGUUUUUAGAUGCUUUGUAAACAGGAGAGAAACCCUUAGAGGGUCUCACUCUGACACACUGUGAGUUUUAUGAUAAUUAAUUAACUGGAUGAGCUCAUAAAUGUAACAAACAAUUGUGCCUAAUGGGACAAUGGCUCCAAUUUCCCCUGAGUGUAUUACCUGAUUAACAUUGAUUUACUGUCCUGGGCUCUGUUGGAUUAAAGAAAGUUCUCACUAACACAUCAUAUUUUAAGCAACUGCAUCGACCCCCCUAUUAAAAAAAAAAAAAAGAAAAAGAAAAAUAAAUAAGAAAAGAGGAAAAAA